rnacentral:rRNA from 1 species
UACGUAGGGGGCAAGCGUUGUCCGGAUUUAUUGGGCGUAAAGAGCGUGUAGGCGGCCAGGUAGGUCGGCUGUGAAAACUCGAGGCUCAACCUCGAGAUGUCGGCCGAAACCAUCUGGCUAGAGUCCGGAAGAGGAGAGUGGAAUUCCCGGUGUAGCGGUGAAAUGCGCAGAUAUCGGGAAGAACACCCGUGGCGAAGGCGGCUCUCUGGGCCGAUACUGACGCUGAGGAGCGAAAGCGUGGGGAGCGAACAGG